CGGUGUUCAACUGGCGUGUCCGCGGGACGUCCUGCCGGUGGGCUUAGCCCGCAAGGGCGGCCCAACUUCAAAUCCCAUCGCGGUGCUCUUCACUGAGUGUCGAGGUGGGCCGGCACGUUUACUUUGAACAAAUUAGAGUGCUUAAAGCAGGCUAAAACUUCGCCUGAAUACUGUGUGCAUGGAAUAAUGGAAUAGGACCUCGGUUCUAUUUUGUUGGUUUUCGGAACCCCGAGGUAAUGAUUAAUAGGAACGGAUGGGGGCAUUCGUAUUGCGACGUUAGAGGUGAAAUUCUUGGAUCGUCGCAAGACGGACAGAAGCGAAAGCAUUUGCCAAAAACGCUUUCAUUGAUCAAGAACGAAAGUUAGAGGUUCGAAGGCGAUCAGAUACCGCCCUAGUUCUAACCAUAAACGAUGCCAGCUAGCGAUCCGUCGACGUUCCUCCGAUGACUCGACGGGCAGCUUCCGGGAAACCAAAGCUUUUGGGUUCCGGGGGAAGUAUGGUUGCAAAGCUGAAACUUAAAGGAAUUGACGGAAGGGCACCACCAGGAGUGGAGCCUGCGGCUUAAUUUGACUCAACACGGGAAACCUCACCAGGCCCGGACACCGGAAGGAUUGACAGAUUGAGAGCUCUUUCUUGAUUCGGUGGGUGGUGGUGCAUGGCCGUUCUUAGUUGGUGGAGCGAUUUGUCUGGUUAAUUCCGAUAACGAACGAGACUCUAGCCUGCUAACUAGGCGUAUUUUCGACAUCUCAAAGGUCCGUCGUCCCGGCCCUCGGGUCGUCGGCGUGCGCGAUUUUUACUGUCGGCGUACUAUCAAUUCUUCUUAGAGGGACAGGUGGCUUCUAGCCGCACGAGAUUGAGCAAUAACAGGUCUGUGAUG
rnacentral:rRNA from 1 species